AAAAGUUGGGAAACCACUGACUGCUGUGCAACCGUUGCAGUGUAUUCAGGUGUCUGAAGUGUGGGAACUUAUUGGUAUAGAUCUUACUGGACCUCUUCCUAAAACGUCAAGCGGCUUCCAGUAUAUACUUACUGCAACUGACUACUUUUCAAAAUGGGUUGAAGCUUUCCCAUUAAAAACGAAAUCUGCAUCUGAGGUAGCCAAUGAGAUGAAAAGACCAAUGACAACAUAAAAAGAGCCCUCCGAAAACUGGUGAAUGACCAGCAGAAUAACUGGGAUCUGUAUCUAGAUCCCACCCUGUUUUCACUGCGGUCAAA